CUGCUGUCUCAUAGGAGACCUGGUGGAGAGAAACAGGGAGGGACUGUGGAGGUGCUGCUGUCUCAAUAGGAGACCUGGUGGAGAGAAACAGGGAGGGACUGUGGAGGUGCUGCUGUCUCAAUAGGAGACCUGGUGGAGAGAAACAGGGAGGGACUGUGGAGGUGCUGCUGUCUCAUAGGAGACCUGGUGGAGAGAAACAGG